GGAGAAAUGAACAGGACCACCGUCAUUAUUGCCACCACUGCUUCUUUGGAUUCAGAUGAAUCUACUGUAGAGGGAGGUAAUGCUUGCUUCCUGCAGGAGUGAGGGUACAGCAUAUGGUGCUACUAUCCGUGGGUAUGAGAGCUACAACAGAGUAGAGGUAAAAGAAAAGAGGCCUUCUUUUAUUCCAUUGUUGGCUCUUCAGUUUGAUAAGAGCCACUUAAGAGAGUCAUGACAAGUCAAAGCAAAGUAAGCUCUACUUACAUUUAACUACAAUAGAAUUAACAGUGUUGUACAAUUGUUUUGGAGUUUUGCAUCUUUUUCUUGUUGCUGAAGUCUGGUGUUGUGAAAUUCCCAAUCUGGAAAUGACAUUAAUAUAAUCUUUUAAUUAGAAUCAAGACCAUGUUGACAUGAUGAUCAUAAUAAUUGGUGGGUAUGCCUUGGCAGCCAUGAUGCAUGGUGAAUACUUGUUUAGGACAACACUUUGCAUCACUGCUAGAUCUAAGCCACCACAUGUGUGACUCCUCAAUCAUAUAUUUGUGCUAAAAACUCAGUGAAAUAUAACUUUUAAAACAUGUGUCUAUUGAAGAUUGAACAUUAAGUUCAUCGGAGGAAGAAUCUACCAACAUGUUUGUAAUGUGGAUCCAAAUCAACUAAGGGGAAGAAAAUUGAUUGGACCCAGAUGCACAUCUCAACAUAGUGACCAAAUUUGUCCUCAUCAGGUACUUAUGCACUGUACUCAAUAUAUCACUGAUAAUUAUGUCAGUAUAUUUCUUAUCCUGGCUUUUGAUUUCCUGUUUUCUGACUUGUUUGGCAAUUGAAAACUCAGGCCUCAGACUUUGGAUUGGAGAAAGCUUGAGAAGUCAUGGCUUUUGACCUUUUCCCUAUUUGGCUUUCUAUCAUUAGGAACUAAAAGAAGGCCUUUGGCCUUUUGGUAACCCUUUAGUGAUUAGAGAUUUGAAUGACUUUUUAUGUUGGCUUUGGAUCAGUAGGUUCUAGAAGAAGGCCUUUGACUUUUUGGAAGUCUGGAAAAAUUAGGGAUUUGGAUGCCAGCAGUCAGCCCCAGAGAUGUUGGGUUGGCAAGAAAUCUUUUGAGCAACAUUUCAACACCAUCCUUGGGGACCUUCUUGAAGAUCCAAAUGCAAACCCCAACAGUGGGAUCUUGAAAUCUACUACUGCAAACACUCAGAUGUUGAAGGUUUCCUUUGCUGCUAUUGCCUCCCCUCCCCCACAAAAACAACAUAUAUGGAAUGAGAAGAUCCAAGACAAGAUGGAUUGGGAUCUCGCAUGAAUCAGUAAGAAGAGCCAUCAGUGCAAGAGUUUGCUGAAGAAAAACCAGUUUGGGACUCAACAAAUACAUUCUAUGCUGAGAUGUGACCUCUCACACAACACUUCAGAUUGAAUUAGGAAUUUUUUCGCAUCUAUAUAUAUUGUUGUAAAGUUUGAAAAUAGAGUAUCUUGCGCAUUAAUACACUAUUUUAAUGU